rnacentral:rRNA from 1 species
CGUAGGUGGCAAGCGUUGUCCGGAUUUAUGGGUUUAAAGGGUGCGUAGGCGGUGAUUUAAGUCAGUGGUGAAAUACUUCAGCUUAACUGGAGAGGUGCCAUUGAUACUGGGUCACUUGAGUACUGAUGAGGUAGGCGGAAUGGACGGUGUAGCGGUGAAAUGCUUAGAUAUCGUCCAGAACACCGAUAGCGAAGGCAGCUUACUAAGGAGUAACUGACGCUCCGAGGCACGAAAGCGUGGGGAUCAAACAGGAUUAGAUACCCUGGUAGUCCACACUGUAAACGAUGAUCACUCGAUGUUGGCGAUACACAGCCAGCGUCUUAGCAAAAGCGAUAAGUGAUCCACCUGGGGAGUACGCCGGCAACGGUG